GACGAACGCUGGCGGCGUGCUUAACACAUGCAAGUCGAACGGAAAGGCACUGCUUUUGUGGGGUGCCAGAGUGACGAACGGAUGAGUAACAAGUGAGUAACCUGCCCUUGCCUUUGGGGUAACUUCCGGAAGCUGGGGCUAAUACCGGAUAGGAGCUCCCGCUGCAUGGCGGGGGUGGGAAAGUUUCGGCGGCUGGGGAUGGACUCCCGGCUUAUCAGCUUGUUGGUGGGGUAGUGGCUUACCAAGGCAUUGAAGGGUAGCCGGCCUGGGAGGGUGACCGGCCACAUGGGGACUGAGAUAGGGCCCAGAGUCGUUCGGGAGGAAGCAGUGGGGGAUAGUGCACAAUGGGCGGAAGGCGGAAUCAGCAACGCCGCGUGGGAGAUGACGGCCUUCGGGUUGGAAACCGCUUUCGCCUGUUACUAAGCGUGAGUGACGGUAAUGGGUUAAGAAGCACCGGCUAACUACGUG
rnacentral:rRNA from 1 species